GCCCAUCCCUGACCUGAACUCUGUGAGCUGAUUCCACCAGUGACUGAGCACAGACCACCACCAUGGAGCUGGGGCUGCGCUGGGUUCUCCUUGUUGCUCUGUUGAAAGGUGUGCAGUGUGAGGUGCAGCUGGUGGAGUCUGGGGGAGGCUUGGUGCAGCCUGGGGGGUCCCUGAGACUCUCCUGUGCAGCCUCCGGAUUUGACUUCAGUGGUUACUGGAUGAGCUGGAUCCGCCAGGCUCCAGGGAAGGGGCUGGAGUGGCUUGGAGAAAUUAAUCAAGGUGGUAGUAGCACAAACUACCCAGACUCUGUGAAGGGCCGCUUCACCAUCUCCAGAGACAACAGCAAGAGCACACUUUACCUGCAGAUGAACAGCCUGAGAGUGGAGGACACGGCCGUCUAUUACUGUGCUAGACACACAAAAUGGAGGUUGUAA